rnacentral:rRNA from 1 species
UACGGAGGGGGCUAGCGUUGUUCGGAAUUACUGGGCGUAAAGCGCGCGUAGGCGGUGAUCUUUGUCAGAGGUGAAAUCCCGAGGCUCAACUUCGGAAUUGCCUUUGAAACGGGAUCGCUCGAGUCCGGGAGAGGAUGGCGGAAUUCCUAGUGUAGAGGUGAAAUGCGUAGAUAUCUGGAGGAACACCGGCGGCGAAGGCGGCGUUCUGGACUGUUUCUGACACUGAAAGACGAAAGCCAGGGGAGCAAACGGG